GACGAACGCUGGCGGCGCGCUUAACACAUGCAAGUCGAACGGAAAGGCCUGCUUUCCCUUGUGGAUUGCGGGUACUCGAGUGGCGAACGGGUGAGUAACACGUGAGUGAUCUGCCCCCAACUUGGGUAUAAGCCUGGGAAACUGGGUCUAAUUCCCGAUAGGACUGCAGGGUGGUGCCUGUGGUGGAAAACGAUUUUCUAGUGGUUGGGGAUGAGCUCGCGGCCUAUCAGCUUGUUGGUGGGGUAAUGGCCUACCAAGGCGGCGACGGGUAGCCGGCCUGAGAGGGUGGACGGCCACAUUGGGACUGAGAUACGGCCCAGACUCCUACGGGAGGAAGCAGUGGGGAAUAUGGCACAAUGGGCGGAAGCCUGAUGCAGCGACGCCGCGUGGGGGAUGACGGCCUUCGGGUGGUAAACUCCUUUCGACCGCGAGGAAGCCACCUGGUUGGAAGGGUGGUGACGGUAGUGGUAGAAGAAGCACCGGCUAACUACGUG
rnacentral:rRNA from 1 species